GCACGUAGUUAGCCGGGACUUAUUCCUCAGGUACCGUCAUCAUCGUCCCUGAGAAAAGAACUUUACAACCCGAAGGCCGUCAUCGUUCACGCGGCGUUGCUGCCUCAGAGUUUCCUCCAUUGGGCAAUAUUCCUCACUGCUGCCUCCCGUAGGAGUAGGGACCGUGUCUCAGUUCCCUUGUGGGGGGUCGCGCUCUCACGCCCCCUAGCCGUCUGCGCCUUGGUAGGCCUUUACCCCACCAACUAGCUGAUAGCCCGCAGGCCCCUCCCCCGGCCCCGUAGGUUUAGUCAAGACCCUCUAACAGCCUUGACAUCCGCGGUAUUAGCCCUGGUUUCCCAGGGUUAUCCCCCGCCGAGGGGUAGGUCACCAACGUGUUACUCACCCGUUUGCCACUUUCAUUUUCCCGAAGGAAAAUUCACGUUCGACUUGCAUGUGUUAAGCACGCCGCCAGCGUUCAUC
rnacentral:rRNA from 1 species